rnacentral:snoRNA from 1 species
UAAGCAGGAUUGUGUGUAUCGGUCGUGUGCGUUUAUAAUCUAUGCACCUGUUGCCGGAAGAGUUUUCUGCGAAAUUGAUAUUUUGCUAUUGGGGAAGAUGGGCAGUUGGAUUUCAUAUAUUCCAAUUGAAAUCGCAACAAUCAUCUUCCUCACAUUC